UUGGGAUAGGGGUAAUGUGCCCUUAUAAAGCCUUGAGCACUCUAUCCCCCUUGAGCUAGCUUUUGGGGGGAGUUAGACUUGGCCCAUUUUCUUAAGAUAGUAUCAGAGCCUUCCCAACCAAUAUUGAGCCUCCCAUAAGUGUUUCAUGCUCUAGAUGUUCAGUCUUAGGCGUGAGAGGGGUGUUAAUAUCCCACGUCGGUUUGAGAUAAGAGGUAAUGUGCCUUUAUAAAGCCUUAAGCACUCCUUCCCCCUUGAGCUAGCUUUUGAGGGUGAUUUAGGCCCAGCCAAUUUUCUUAAGAAAGACAACUUUUGCUCAGAAAACUGAAAUAGCAUUAAUGUACACAAAACUUAUUAUGUGCAAAAACCAAGUGUCAUAUUAGUUGUUGUCAUCCAAUUUACAAAUUAUUCAUUCACAAAUUUCUAAAACUUGGCAAGGGAUCUGUGAGCUCAGCAUUCUUCCGAUGUAUCUGUGCGCAUAAGUAUGCAUGCUCAUGUGCCUCAAGCAACCAUUCAUUUAGAGUUUCAUAAGGAGAAAUGACUUUCAAAAUGAAUUCAUCAAUAUAUCAGGACAUAUUCACUUAGCAAGAUCUUCCCUGCCUCAUUUUACAUAUCAUAGUUGCUGUCUAAUUAUUUCAGCAAAAGGGGAAUUCAAAAUCUUUAGAGAGAGGGAGCAGAUGUAACUCAAGUUUUGUACUGUCAGCAGAACAUGUAAUGAAAUCAGAAGAAAAGAGAAGAUCCAUGCUGAUUCAUCAUCAUAGAAAAUUUUACUAAAGUGAAAAGCUUGCGAAGAUAA
rnacentral:misc_RNA from 1 species